rnacentral:rRNA from 1 species
CCCUUAGAUGUUCUGGGCCACACGCGCGUUACACUGAUGAAGCCAGCGAGUAUAUCGCCUUCACCGGAAGGUGCGGGUAAUCUUGUGAAACUCCAUCGUGCUGGGGAUAGACCAUUGCAAUUAUUGGUCUUGAACGAGGAAUUCCUAGUAAGCAUGAGUCAUCAACUCGUGCUGAUUACGUCCCUGCCCUUUGUACACACCGCCCGUCGCUACUACCGAUUGAAUGGUUUAGUGAGAUCUCGGGAUUGGAGACGUUGCGCCGCAAGGCACAUCGUCCUCGAGAACUUGAUCAAACUUGAUCAUUUAGAGGAAGUAAAAGUCGUAACA